CGGCCUCUCGCUAUUUGUCGAUGCGUUCGAUCGUUGUUUUUAAUGUGUCUUUGAUGUUGUCUAACGAUUCGGUUAGCUGCUAGCUUUUCGCGAAAAUUCAAAACGAAAAUUUUUCGCUCAGUAUCGAGGGAAAUCACGACGCGCCAACUUGGUGGGAAAUGCCAGUACGUGAACGCGCUCAAUUAGUGUGCACAAGGAUUACCAGCAAAAGUGUGACCAAAGUCAUCUAUAUAUAUAUGCUAUAAAAUAAAAAUAAAAAUAAAUAUAAUAUUUAGUAUAUAAUGUCUACCAAAUAUAUAAAUACAAGAUAAUCGCGCUCUUCCUGUCGUUCGUCUAAUUAGCAUCGAGUGCCGAGCGAUUAUACGGAUCAGCUCUUAAGCAGUCUAUGCCAAGUGUGCUCUAUCUGUGAAUAGAUUCUUUGAAAAACGCUCACUAACUUUUUCAGCGUUAAAAGCACAAACAAAAAAUCGUGUCAUAAAAUCCCAUAUUAAAAA